GCAAGAGCCGGACGAGUUCAGCGGCCUCCUGCCAGUAAGAAGUUCACUUGCUGUGGCCCCGCCCAGAGCGUUGCUUGUUCAUGGUGGUCAGCAUCUGGCUGAUGUAAGAGGUCAGCAGGUCAUCCAUCUUGUAGCCCUGCAGGUUGCCGAUGGUGAUGUGGAAGUAGGUGUUCCCACUGCUCCAGUUGGAGAUCUUGGUGAAGGGACCGACCUGGUAGUAGUGAAAGAUGGAGUCGGCGAAGGAGUCCUUCCCUGGAACUGUGUUGGUCCACAACUUCUUCAUGAAGAACACCUGAUAGGUCAGAGAGGGAACGAUUCCUACAAGGUUUGUCCGGCCUCCUUCAUAAGUCAUGAUGUUUCAUAAACCCAACAGUUUGUGUUUUUACUUCCUGCAUGUUACGCAAACUUGAAUAAACAAUAAGAGCUUG